GGCACCAUGGCUUAGCUGGUUAAAGUGCCUCCCUUGUAAGAAGGAGAUCCUGGGUUGAACUCCUAUUGGUGCAC
rnacentral:tRNA from 1 species